CUGCGAAUGGCUCAUUAUAUAAGUUAUCGUUUAUUUGAUAGUACCUUACUACUUGGAUAACCGUGGUAAUUCUAGAGCUAAUACAUGCUGAAAAUCCCGACUUCGGAAGGGAGGUAUUUAUUAGAUUAAAAACCAAUGCCCUCUGGGCUCCUUGGUGAUUCAUAAUAACUUUUCGAAUCGCACGGCCUUGCGCCGGCGAUGGUUCAUUCAAAUUUCUUCCCUAUCAACUUUCGAUGUUUGGGUAUUGGCCAAACAUGGUCGCAACGGGUAACGGAGGGUUAGGGCUCGACCCCGGAGAAGGAGCCUGAGAAACGGCUACUACAUCCAAGGAAGGCAGCAGGCGCGCAAAUUACCCAAUCCCGAUUCGGGGAGGUAGUGACAAUAAAUACUGAUACAGGGCUCUUUUGGGUCUUGUAAUUGGAAUGAGUACAAUUUAAAUCUCUUAACGAGGAACAAUUGGAGGGCAAGUCUGGUGCCAGCAGCCGCGGUAAUUCCAGCUCCAAUAGCGUAUAUUAAAGUUGUUGUGGUUAAAAAGCUCGUAGUUGAACCUUGGGCCUGGCUGGCCGGUCCGCCUCACCGCGUGUACUGGUCCGGCCGGGCCUUUCCCUCUGUGGAACCUCAUGCCCUUCACUGGGUGUGGCGGGGAAACAGGACUUUUACUUUGAAAAAAUUAGAGUGCUCCAGGCAGGCCUAUGCUCGAAUACAUUAGCAUGGAAUAAUAAAAUAGGACGCGUGGUUCUAUUUUGUUGGUUUCUAGGACCGCCGUAAUGAUUAAUAGGGACAGUCGGGGGCAUCAGUAUUCAAUUGUCAGAGGUGAAAUUCUUAGAUUUAUUGAAGACUAACUACUGCGAAAGCAUUUGCCAAGGAUGUUUUCAUUAAUCAGGAACGAAAGUUAGGGGAUCGAAGACGAUCAGAUACCGUCGUAGUCUUAACCAUAAACUAUGCCGACUAGGGAUCGGACGAUGUUAUUUUUUGACGCGUUCGGCACCUUACGAGAAAUCAAAGUGCUUGG
rnacentral:rRNA from 1 species